UACGGGGGAUGCAAGCGUUAUCCGGAAUCAUUGGGCGUAAAGCGCCUGUAGGUUGUUUGAUAAGUCCGUUGUUAAAUACUAGGGCCUAACCCUAGAAAAGCAAUGGAAACUGUUAGACUAGAGGAUGGUAGGGGUAGAGGGAAUUUCUAGUGUAGCGGUGAAAUGCGUAGAUAUUAGAAAGAACACCGGUGGCGAAGGCGCUCUACUGGACCAUUACUGACACUCAGAGGCGAAAGCUAGGGUAGCAAAAGGG
rnacentral:rRNA from 1 species